UUUUGGUUACUUCUCAAUGACAUCUGAUCGUUAUGUCCCCAAAAAUCAUCAGUUGCCUCCUGUGAAAUGCCGUGUACUGUGACACCUGCCAUAGCGCCGGGCACUGAAUGUUGAUAGUUUGUCCAGGUGAGUGGAGGGGGCGUGGCUUAGCCAUAGGUCAAUUCAUGAUCUUGAAUCAAUCAGUUAUGCUUUCACAUGAAUAAAAUGGUGC